rnacentral:rRNA from 1 species
GACGAACGCUGGCGGCGUGCUUAACACAUGCAAGUCGAACGGAAAGGCCCUGUUUUUGUGGGGGGCUCGAGUGGCAAACGGGAGAGUAACACGUGAGUAACCUGCCCACGACUUUGGGAUACCUCCAGGAACCUGUGGCUAAUACCGGAUAGGAGCUCCUGCUGCAUGGUGGGGGCUGGAAAGUUUCGGCGGUUGGGGAUGGAUUCGCGGCUUAUCAGCUUGUUGGUGGGGUAGUGGCCUACCAAGGCAUUGACGGGUAGCCGGCCUGAGCGGGUGACCGGCCACAAUGGGACUGAGGUACGGCGCAGACUCCUACGGGAGGCAGCAGUGGGGAAUAUUGCACAGUGGGGGGAAGCCUGAUGAAGCAGCGCCGCGGGCGGGAUGACGGCCUUCGGGGUGUAAACCGCUUUCGCCUGUGACGAAGCGUGAGUGACGGUAAUGGGUAAAGAAGCACCGGCUAACUACGUG